rnacentral:rRNA from 1 species
UGAGGAAUAUUGGUCAAUGGGCGCUAGCCUGAACCAGCCAAGUAGCGUGAAGGAUGACUGCCCUAUUGGGGUUGUAAAACUUCUUUUUAUAUGGGAAUAAAGUGCAGUAUGUAUACUGCUUUGCAUGUACCUUAUGAAUAAGGAUCGGCUAACUCCGUGCC